rnacentral:rRNA from 1 species
UACGGGGGGAGCAAACGUUGUUCGGAAUCACUGGGCGUAAAGGGCGUGUAGGCGGCUGAAUGAGUGGGAUGUUAAAUCCCCCGGCUCAACCGGGGAACUGCAUCUCAUACUGUUCAGCUUGGGUACAGCAGAGGAGACUGGAAUUCCCGGUGUAGCGGUGAAAUGCGCAGAUAUCGGGAGGAACACCGGUGGCGAAGGCGGUUCUCUGGGCCUGACCUGACGCUGAGGAGCGAAAGCCAGGGGAGCAAACGGG